rnacentral:rRNA from 1 species
AUGACGAGCCAUCCUUACCUAGCUAUGCGCUCGACAACUGCAGCCAAGAUCGCUUCCUCUCUUCUUUCCCCACCCCCCCACCCCAAAUUUUUUGGCUCUGUGUGUGAUGGGAAAGGGGGCUGCGCGAUGACACGUGAUGGGAUCGCCAAGAUUGUAGCAAGGGGAGAGGGGAAUCAAGCUAAUUGUCUAAAGAUCCGCCCCUCCCCAAGAAAAGUUUCGGCCAGUGCAAAGAAUCACGACCUGAAUUUGAUCCCGAUUUCUCUCUCUAAUCACGGGGGGUUAGGGGUUUCUGAGGUUGAAGACGAUGUGGUUAUUUUCAGAAUUAUCCCCGUAGUUUAUUUUUAUUCUAUAUCACCUAUCUGGACGGCGCGGAAGGACUAA